rnacentral:lncRNA from 1 species
GUUGGAGAGAAUUGGAGAUUUGAGCCACUAUAAACAUACAUGUAUAAUAUCACUGUACUAGUGUACAUGUUUUUUAAGGGGCCAGCUGGACACUGCCUCCUGGUGCGGGAGUUUCUUGCUACAUUGAAGACCCAUUGGUGGCCUUCAGCUGUUGUCUGCUCUAUGGUCUGGUUGUUGUCGCUUUGACACAUUCCCCAUUUCCUUUCUUAAUUUUAUGUAUAAAAUAUAUAUCUGCAUAUCUGAAGCCCCAGACUAGUAUAUUUCUUUUGGACUAGUAAGUUUUUGCAAAACUUUGUUUGAACCAAUAAGAAAAAUGUCAGAAUAUUGGUCUUUGGACUAGUAGUUGAGAAAAGAUUUUGGUGCAGACUGUAUAUAUAUCACAUUUCCUUUAUCAAAAGUUUUUUUCAAGCAGAAAAAAAGAAUGGGUUGAAGAAAAAUUAUUGAAA